GUAAGACAGUGUAAGAUUUAUUUACUAAUCUAUGUAGCUCAUAUCUCUUCUUUUCUAACUUUUUCAGACGAACAAGAUCGUUAGGAGUGGAAAAUGAUCCAAUCUUGGAGUUUGUGCUAAUAGACCUUUAUAGGAGAAUUUUAGUUCGCUAGUUGAUUAUUUACUUAGUUGUUGAUUUUAUAGAUAUUGAGGCUAUUGGUUCUGGGCAUUUAAAUUUAGAUUUAGACGCUCUAUAGCAAUACUUAUUUAUUUAUUGGACGAUAGUCUCGAACUUUGUUGUUAGGUUUUAGUUUAUUUAAGAUGGAUUUUCAUAUAGGUUAGCUACUGUAAGCUUUGUUUUAUCAUGGGCGGUACCCCAUGAUAGCAUGGCCAUGUUAUAUGCUGAAUUUGGAGCAUGAUAUUUAGUAGUAUGAGAGUAUAGGUUUGAUUGUGGGUAGACUUUAAGCUU
rnacentral:lncRNA from 1 species